rnacentral:rRNA from 1 species
AACCUACGGGGCGCAGCAGUGAGGAAUAUUGGUCAAUGGGCGAGAGCCUGAACCAGCCAAGUCGCGUGAAGGAUGACGGCCCUACGGGUUGUAAACUUCUUUUGUCAGGGAGCAAUUGGGUCCACGCGUGGGCUUAGCGAGAGUACCUGAAGAAAAAGCAUCGGCUAACUCCGUGCCAACAGCCGCGGUAAUACGGAGGAUGCGAGCGUUAUCCGGAUUUAUUGGGUUUAAAGGGUGCGUAGGCGGUCCGUUAAGUCAGCGGUAAAAUUGCGGGGCUCAACCCCGUCGAGCCGUUGAAACUGGCA